UUUAAUACCUGCCAAGGGAGAUACCAUAAUCAUGAAGCUAUUUUUCCCAAGGCAAGGCUCAUCCAUUGUGGUGUGGAUGUGCUGACUUCUGUGAUUUCUCCAAAUGUGGACGAUUUGGCAUAAAUUUUGGUUGUGGGGACUGAAUUUACACGCUCAAA
ensembl:snRNA U1 U1 spliceosomal RNA